rnacentral:sRNA from 1 species
GAACCAGUCUCGCUGAAUCUCCGAACGUUGGAGAACGGGGGAACCAAUACGAAAUGGAACUGAUGAAGUGUUCAGCAUAUGUCGUAUUUGAUUUCUUUUAUUGGGUCUUUGGGGUGAAUUUAAAGGCAUCCGCCAUGAGCGGUUGACCUAAGAUAGGGCGACUCUCUUUCGUCCAAACCCGACAGCUAACCUCGUAAGCGUUAUGAAGAGAGGCA